UACGAAGGGGGCUAGCGUUGCUCGGAAUCACUGGGCGUAAAGCGCACGUAGGCGGCUUACUAAGUCAGGGGUGAAAUCCUGGAGCUCAACUCCAGAACUGCCUUUGAUACUGGUGAGCUUGAGUCCGGAAGAGGUGAGUGGAACUGCGAGUGUAGAGGUGAAAUUCGUAGAUAUUGGGAAGAACACCAGUGGCGAAGGCGGCUCACUGGCCCGUAACUGACGCUGAGGUGCGAAAGCGUGGGAGCAAACAGGG
rnacentral:rRNA from 1 species